GCCGGACCCGCGUGUUGUACCGCGCCCUCCAUCCCACCACACGGAACACGACGACUCUCGGCAACGGAUAUCUCGGCUCUUGCAUCGAUGAAGAACGUAGCGAAAUGCGAUACCUGGUGUGAAUUGCAGAAUCCCGCGAACCAUUGAGUCUUUGAACGCAAGUUGCGCCCGAGGCCAUCCGG
rnacentral:rRNA from 1 species